rnacentral:rRNA from 1 species
AUUGAACGCUGGCGGCAUGCUUUACACAUGCAAGUCGAACGGUAACAGGGAGCUUGCUCCGCUGACGAGUGGCGAACGGGUGAGUAAUAUAUCGGAACGUGCCCAAGAGUGGGGGAUAACGUAGCGAAAGUUACGCUAAUACCGCAUACGAACCAAGGAUGAAAGCAGGGGACCUUCGGGCCUUGUGCUCCUGGAGCGGCCGAUAUAUGAUUAGCUAGUUGGUGAGGUAAAGGCUCACCAAGGCGACGAUCAGUAGCUGGUCUGAGAGGACGACCAGCCACACUGGAACUGAGUCACGGUCCAGACUCCCACGGGAGGCAGCAGUGGGGAAUUUUGGACAAUGGGGGCAACCCUGAUCCAGCAAUGCCGCGUGAGUGAAGAAGGCCUUCGGGUUGUAAAGCUCUUUUGUCAGGGAAGAAAAGGGUACGGCUAAUAUCCGUGCCUCAUGACGGUACCUGAAGAAUAAGCACCGGCUAACUACGUGCCAGCAGCCGCCGCGG